rnacentral:rRNA from 1 species
GUGGGGAAUCUUAGACAAUGGGGGAAACCCUGAUCUAGCCAUGCCGCGUGAUCGAUGAAGGCCUUAGGGUUGUAAAGAUCUUUCAGGUGGGAAGAUAAUGACUGUACCACCAGAAGAAGCCCCGGCUAACUCCGUGCCAGCAGCCGCGGUAAUACGGAGGGGGCUAGCGUUGUUCGGAAUUACUGGGCGUAAAGCGCACGUAGGCGGAUUGGAAAGUUGGGGGUGAAAUCCCGGGGCUCAACCCCGGAACUGCCUUCAAAACUCCCAGUCUUGAGUUCGAGAGAGGUGAGUGGAAUUCCGAGUGUAGAGGUGAAAUUCGUAGAUAUUCGGAGGAACACCAGUGGCGAAGGCGGCUCACUGGCUCGAUACUGACGCUGAGGCGCGAAAGCGUGGGGAGCAAACAGGAUUAGAAACCCGGGUAGUCC